UCCGAAGGGGGCUAGCGUUGUUCGGAUUUACUGGGCGUAAAGCGCAUGUAGGCGGACCAUUAAGUUGGGGGUGAAAUCCCGAGGCUCAACCUCGGAAUUGCCUCCAAAACUGGCGGUCUGGAUCAGAAGAGAGGCGAGUGGAAUUCCGAGUGUAGAGGUGAAAUUCGUAGAUAUUCGGAGGAACACCAGUGGCGAAGGCGACUCGCUGGCUUCUUGCUGACGCUGAGAUGCGAAAGCGUGGGGAGAAAACAGG
rnacentral:rRNA from 1 species